UCUGGUGCUUGCACUAGACGGAUGAGUUGCGAACGGGUGAGUAACGCGUAGGUAACCUGCCUCAUAGCGGGGGAUAACUAUUGGAAACGAUAGCUAAUACCGCAUAACAGUAUUAACCGCAUGGUAGAUACUUGAAAGGAGCAAUUGCUUCACUAUGAGAUGGACCUGCGUUGUAUUAGCUAGUUGGUGAGGUAACGGCUCACCAAGGCAUCGAUACAUAGCCGACCUGAGAGGGUGAUCGGCCACACUGGGACUGAGACACGGCCCAGACUCCUACGGGAGGCAGCAGUAGGGAAUCUUCGGCAAUGGGGGCAACCCUGACCGAGCAACGCCGCGUGAGUGAAGAAGGUUUUCGGAUCGUAAAGCUCUGUUGUAAGAGAAGAACGUGUGUGAGAGUGGAAAGUUCACACAGUGACGGUAUCUUACCAGAAAGGGACGGCUAACUACGUGCCAGCAGCCGCGGUAAUACGUAGGUCCCGAGCGUUGUCCGGAUUUAUUGGGCGUAAAGCGAGCGCAGGCGGUUUGAUAAGUCUGAAGUAAAAGGCUGUGGCUUAACCAUAGUACGCUUUGGAAACUGUCAAACUUGAGUGCAGAAGGGGAGAGUGGAAUUCCAUGUGUAGCGGUGAAAUGCGUAGAUAUAUGGAGGAACACCGGUGGCGAAAGCGGCUCUCUGGUCUGUAACUGACGCUGAGGCUCGAAAGCGUGGGGAGCGAACAGGAUUAGAUACCCUGGUAGUCCACGCCGUAAACGAUGAGUGCUAGGUGUUGGGUCCUUUCCGGGACUCAGUGCCG
rnacentral:rRNA from 1 species